AUAGUUGUAGCUCAAUUGGUAGAGCAGUGGUCUCCAAAACCACCGGUUGUAGGUUCAAGUCCUUCCAACUAUG
rnacentral:tRNA from 1 species